GACGAACGCUGGCGGCGUGCUUAACACAUGCAAGUCGAACGGAAAGGCCUUUUCGGAGGUACUCGAGUGGCGAACGGGUGAGUAACACGUGGGUGAUCUGCCCUGCACUCUGGGAUAAGCCUGGGAAACUGGGUCUAAUACCGGAUAGGACCGCACUUUAGUGUGUGUGGUGGAAAGUUUUUUCGGUGUAGGAUGAGCCCGCGGCCUAUCAGCUUGUUGGUGGGGUAAUGGCCUACCAAGGCGGCGACGGGUAGCCGGACUGAGAGGUUGGUCGGCCACAUUGGGCCUGGGUUCGGGCCCGGCCCCCUACGGGGGGCAGCAGGGGGAAAUAUUGCACAAUGGGCGCAACCCUGAUGCAGCGACGCCGCGUGGGGGAUGACGGCCUUCGGGUUUUAAACCCCUUUCCCCGGGGACGAAGCGUUUUUGGCGGGAACCUGGAGAAAAGCCCCCGCUAACCUCCGG
rnacentral:rRNA from 1 species